CCUACGGGAGGCAGCAGUGAGGAAUAUUGGUCAAUGGACGAGAGUCUGAACCAGCCAAGUAGCGUGAAGGAUGACUGCCCUAUGGGUUGUAAACUUCUUUUAUAUGGGAAUAAAAUGUUCCACGUGUGGGAUUUUGUAUGUACCAUAUGAAUAAGGAUCGGCUAACUCCGUGCCAGCAGCCGCGGUAAUACUGAGGAUCCGAGCGUUAUCCGGAUUUAUUGGGUUUAAAGGGAGCGUAGGUGGAUUGUUAAGUCAGUUGUGAAAGUUUGCGGCUCAACCGUAAAAUUGCAGUUGAAACUGGAAGUCUUGAGUACAGUAGAGGUGGGCGGAAUUCGUGGUGUAGCGGUGAAAUGCUUAGAUAUCACGAAGAACUCCGAUUGCGAAGGCAGCUCACUGGACUGCAACUGACACUGAGGCUCGAAAGUGUGGGUAUCAAACAGGAUUAGAUACCCCAGUAGUC
rnacentral:rRNA from 1 species